UACGUAGGGUGCAAGCGUUGUCCGGAAUUAUUGGGCGUAAAGAGCUCGUAGGCGGUUUGUUGCGUCGGCUGUGAAAUCCCGAGGCUCAACCUCGGGUCUGCAGUCGAUACGAGCAAACUAGAGUGUUGCAGGGGAGACUGGAAUUCCUGGUGUAGCGGUGAAAUGCGCAGAUAUCAGGAGGAACACCAGUGGCGAAGGCAGGUCU
rnacentral:rRNA from 1 species